rnacentral:tRNA from 1 species
GGUUGUGGCUCAGUGGUAGAGCACUCGCCUAGCACAUGCCAGGCUCUGGGUUGGAUCCUCAGCACCA